rnacentral:rRNA from 3 species
UGCUGACGAGUGGCGGACGGGUGAGUAAUGUCUGGGAAACUGCCUGAUGGAGGGGGAUAACUACUGGAAACGGUGGCUAAUACCGCAUAACGUCGCAAGACCAAAGAGGGGGACCUUCGGGCCUCUUGCCAUCAGAUGUGCCCAGAUGGGAUUAGCUUGUUGGUGAGGUAACGGCUCACCAAGGCGACGAUCCCUAGCUGGUCUGAGAGGAUGACCAGCCACACUGGAACUGAGACACGGUCCAGACUCCUACGGGAGGCAGCAGUGGGGAAUAUUGCACAAUGGGCGCAAGCCUGAUGCAGCCAUGCCGCGUGUAUGAAGAAGGCCUUCGGGUUGUAAAGUACUUUCAGCGGGGAGGAAGGUGUUGUGGUUAAUAACCGCAGCAAUUGACGUUACCCGCAGAAGAAGCACCGGCUAACUCCGUGCCAGCAGCCGCGGUAAUACGGAGGGUGCAAGCGUUAAUCGGAAUUACUGGGCGUAAAGCGCACGCAGGCGGUCUGUCAAGUCGGAUGUGAAAUCCCCGGGCUCAACCUGGGAACUGCAUUCGAAACUGGCAGGCUUGAGUCUUGUAGAGGGGGGUAGAAUUCCAGGUGUAGCGGUGAAAUGCGUAGAGAUCUGGAGGAAUACCGGUGGCGAAGGCGGCCCCCUGGACAAAGACUGACGCUCAGGUGCGAAAGCGUGGGGAGCAAACAGGAUUAGAUACCCUGGUAGUCCACGCCGUAAACGAUGUCUACUUGGAGGUUGUGCCCUUGAGGCGUGGCUUCCGGAGCUAACGCGUUAAGUAGACCGCCUGGGGAGUACGGCCGCAAGGUUAAAACUCAAAUGAAUUGACGGGGGCCCGCACAAGCGGUGGAGCAUGUGGUUUAAUUCGAUGCAACGCGAAGAACCUUACCUGGUCUUGACAUCCACAGAAGAAUCCAGAGAUGGAUUUGUGCCUUCGGGAACUGUGAGACAGGUGCUGCAUGGCUGUCGUCAGCUCGUGUUGUGAAAUGUUGGGUUAAGUCCCGCAACGAGCGCAACCCUUAUCCUUUGUUGCCAGCGGUUAGGCCGGGAACUCAAAGGAGACUGCCAGUGAUAAACUGGAGGAAGGUGGGGAUGACGUCAAGUCAUCAUGGCCCUUACGACCAGGGCUACACACGUGCUACAAUGGCGCAUACAAAGAGAAGCGACCUCGCGAGAGCAAGCGGACCUCAUAAAGUGCGUCGUAGUCCGGAUUGGAGUCUGCAACUCGACUCCAUGAAGUCGGAAUCGCUAGUAAUCGUGGAUCAGAAUGCCACGGUGAAUACGUUCCCGGGCCUUGUACACACCGCCCGUCACACCAUGGGAGUGGGUUGCAAAAGAAGUAGGUAGCUUAACCUUCGGGAGGGCGCUUACCACUUUGUGAUUCAUGACUGGGGUGAAGUCGUAACAAGGUAACCGUAGGGGAACCUGCGGUUGGAUCACCUCCUUACCUUAAAGAA